GGGGCCAUCAUCCAAAGACACUACAUUUCACAUCUCACAACUUCAUUCACAAACACAAUUUCCUUGCCGUGACCUCCAUCCAUUCAUCUAGCCAUACUACAUCUCACCAAUCCAUACACUUUCAUCUCUUAGUUGUGCAAAUCCAUUCCAUCCAUAUAUCCAUACACAUCCUAGACACUUGUGCUACAACAAGGUGGUGAAAACAAAGGUCCUUGGCGUUUUAAGCUUGGAACCUUGGAGCGUUUUAGGUGUACUUCGUUCUUGCUUUCAAUGUCUACUUUGUUAUUUUCUAAUUUUGUUGCAAUUAUGAGUGACUAAACCCCUAUUUAGUUAGGGGGAAGUUUGAAGCCAUGAACAUGCUUGAUAUUUGAAUUGAUUUCUUCCAAUUGUGAUUUGAUAAGUUAUGAUUGCAAUUCAAUUAUCUAUUUUAUUCAUAACUGAUUCUUGUAUGUUUAUGAAGGAUACAUACUUAGUUUUGAUGCAUGAAUUAGAUGCUAGAAUAUAAAUGAGUUUCACCUAAUCGUUACCAGUUUAUAUUCAUGAGUAGUGAAGGUUGUUUAUCACAAUCGCGUUAAUUGAAUUCUUGGCAAUUGUAUCAUGCAUUCAUAGUUAUAAUUGCCUCAUCAACACUUAUGAUUUUCAUUGAACGUAAUGAUCUCUGAUUGUAUCUCUAUUAUGCAAUUCAUAUAGGGGACUUUUAGAGAAUGAUUUGGGUUGUCGCAUGCAUUCAUCCAAUUCAAUGAGUAAAGGAAAAUCUAAGGGUUAAUUUGUGCAUCACGGUUAAUCUGGGGUGUUGAGCAUCAUAGUUUAUUGAAAAGCAAUUGGAAAUCGAUUCAUGUACAAGUGUGUCAUGUGUGAAGAGCGGACCUCUAACUAAUCCAUCCAUAAUUUUAUUUCUCAAAUUCAUUUUAUAAUCUGCCUAGUUUUAUAACUUGCUUGUUUAUUUCGAAUUCGUCAAAACCAAAAUCCCCCUUUUACUUUGUUGUUUCAAAGUGUUAAAUUUCUAUUUCGUUAGUGUUUUUGAGUGUUUUGAUUCAAACCAAAACACUAAAUUCAUCCAAAGUUGUGUUAGAGUCAAAUCUGCCCAGUAAGUGUUUUUAGGCAAUUUUGAGUGAAUUUAAGUUGUUUUGCGUCUUUAGAAUUUGUUUUGAGUCCCUUGAGUCUAUUCAAACAUUUUUAACUUUGUUUUUAUGUUUUUGAGUAAGUUUAGAGGUUUUAGCAAGCCCUCAUAAUCCCCGGUUUAGAACGAUCCCUACUUGCGUUUAUACUACAAUUUGACAACAAGAGGGUUUAAUUUGAGUGCUUAACUUUCAUCGCAUCAAAUUUUGGCGCCAUUGCCGGGGAUUAGCAACUUUGCUAACCCCCCGUUGUUUCUUUUUCAUGUCUUUUGUUUUAGUUACCGACUUUGUUUCUAUUUGUGCCUUUUAUUUCUACUUAUGAUAUUUGAUUUAGUUUUGUUUCCUUGAUUUCAGGUACUAGAGAAGUAAGACAUGAAUUUUGCUACCAUUCAAGCUCAAUUGGCGAAACUUACUUCUCAAUUGUCACAAUAUGCCGAAGGGACCACAAUUCAAAGUGUCCCUACAUAUGGUGUGUCCUAUUAGCAAGGAUAUCCAACUCAUCAAUGUUCUCAAUUCGCUGCGAAUGAAGAUGCUUGGGGUUAUCAAUGCCAUAGCCAAUCAUGGGCAACAUGUUUUCCAACGUUUACAAUUCGGAUUGGAGAGAUUAUUCAGAUUACAUGUGGGGAGAACCUCAACAAUUCCAACAAGAUGGGUAUUGGCAGCAAGAAGAGGAGUUCUAUUCAAGGCCUAUGCAGCCACCACAACAAUCUUUCCUAAUUGAAUUCAAGUACGUCUUUGGAUAAUGAUAUGUUUAAUAAGUUACUCACCUCUUUGAACCAGGAAGUAGAAAAUGGAAACAAAGAGAUGCAAAGUCAAGCCAAGAAGACGGGUGAAUUGGAGAAGCAAAUUGGGCAGAUUAUGGAGUUCAUGGCACAAAUUCAAGAGCAAAGUGAACUCACCAACUCAACUAUUGAAAAUUUGAAGGAAGAUUUUGAAAUCCAUGAUGCUAUCAUUUUGGGAAGUGCUAUAGAGGUUGGAGGUAAACCCAAGACAUCCAAACCAAGCCAAAACAUGGAUGAACAACUGCUGCUCGAAGAAGAGGAGAAUAACAAGGCCACGGCAAGGGAAGAACCACCAUUGCCGCAGCCUCAUAUGCCCUCUAUGUCGUCCAUUAUAACCAAGGUAAGCCUAAAUUCAAUUUGUCCUGACCCCGUUUCACCAAAUGUCCUUAUUCCUUGCAGGAUCAUGCAAUCCAAGGAAGAAGCGGAUGAGAAAGGCAUCUUCGAAACCUUUCCAAAGAAUCAAGAGCAAGAAGUGGAUGGGGAAUGUCUAGAAUUCAUCAAAGAAUAUACACUUGAGACAAAAAUUCCCAAAUAAGUUGGAUUUUCUGACACGGGACAAGUUAUAACUCUCAAAACACCAAAUCUGGCCAAGUCCCAUAUCUUUGCAACCUUCAAAGAUGUUGUGUUCGUAAUUGAGUUUGUGUUGGAGCAAGCAAGUAAGCCAUCUUCUCCAACUUCAAUUUUAUUAUAUACUAACUUGCUGAUUUUGAUGAUUCAGGCACCUACACUAGAAUUUAAACCAUUGCCUGAUCAUGUCAAGUAUCACCAUCCAUUCAAGGAUCAAUUCCAUGCUAUGGGCCCUAUCCAAGUUUAGAAGGAAGUUUCGUCUGGCUGAAAGACGUUAAAGCAAGCGCUUCUUGGGAGGCAACCCAUGUAUUCAAAUAAGGAAUUUUUUGAAUCGCUCCACAAGCAGUUUUGUGUUUCUAAAAACCUUCCCUUUUCUGCAGUUUUAUUUUGCCAUGAUUAUCAUUUUUAUUUGUUGCUUGUUUAAUUGUUUUUGGUGUGGGUUUAUUUUUGAAACACUGACAGAUAUGCAAGGUAUUUUUACAUUCAUUUUCAUGAAAAAAAAAGGAACAUUAAGCAGUAAAAUACAAAAGUGAGCCUUCACAAAGGCUGCUUAGGAGAAGUCUCAGUAGUCGGUGGAGCCUCAGUAGUCGACGGAGCCCUAGAAGGAGGAGGCAUCGGAGGUUGAUCAUUUGGAGCUUCAUUACACGGUACAGCCCCAGAAGACGAAGGCAAAUGCUGUUGGAACAAACCCACAAACCUCUGAUGAUCAAGUAAAAUCUGACCAUCAGAUUCCUGCAUCUGGUCAAUCUUCCUCUUCAUGUUUGUAGCAUAGUUAUGUGAGAGCUUAUGCAACUGUUUAUUCUCAUGCUUGAGCCCUCUAAUCUCCUGUUUGAGACUCAUCACUUCAGCCGCCAACGAUUCAACUUGACGGGUUCGAGCAAAUAGGUGUUGGGCCAUAUUGAACACAAAACCGGCACACUGUACACUGAGAGCCAGAGAAUCCUUAACAGCCAGCUUAUCAGACCGUUUGGAAAGUAGUUUGUUAUAUUUAGGGGCGACAAGGUUCCGGGCCACCACCGCAGCAGUCAUGUCAUUCUUCAUCAUCGAAUCCCCAACGGUAAAAGGAUGGGCGCCAUAUGUUGUCUGGAGAAGGCAUGGCAGCCUCUUCACCAAGGUUCAAGUCAAAACGACGGUCGGAAGGGCCAGACAUUUUCAAAGGUGUUGAAGAAAGAAGAGGUCGGACAAGUCAAGAUAUUAGAAGUGCAAGAAGGGAGUUUAUACAAGUGCAAAUUCAAGUGUGCUUUGAAAUGAACUGCGUGCCUCUAUAAAAAUCAACACUCGACGGGAUUUCAGAUAUCGAAGAGGCGAGCUCAGAAUUCAAAGAGGUCAAUUCAAAAAUCGAAGAGGGGCUAGCUUUCUCAAAAGUUGGGCUUGCUCAGAAACCACGGGCCAUCCUCUGUUCUAGAUUUGUCCGCACUCGUCACAUGCAACCUCUGGACUCGACGGAGCUCAGAACUUGAAGAUGCAAGCUCAGAAAUCGAAGAGCCAUCUGCUUUUCCAGACGUAUCAGCAUCUCUCACAUGCACGCUCAGCUUUGCAGAAAUCACAGGCAGUUUGUCGAAGCGUCGAUUCCAGAUAUCGAAGAGGCGUCUGCUUUAUCCAAACGUGUCAGCAUCUGUCACAUGCACGCUCAGCUUUACGAAAAUCACGGGCAAUCUGUCGAAGAUUUCUGGUGAAGUAGAAAGCACGUGAAGUUUAUUGUUUAAUCAUCCAACGGUUGCCGACAAGAGUGAAAGAAUAGUACCGGUUAUUAUUUCCUAUAAAUGUCGACCUUCACCCUCCAUAGCAAAGCAGACAUACAUAACCUUCCGUCAUCUCCGAGAAUGCCUUCCCAACGAAGCCUCUUGAGUCACUCAGUGUUCCUUAUUCCUUGGGGUACCUCUGCAAACAACUCAUCCAAAGCAAAAGUAUUUCAUAUCAUGAAGGUUGAAAGCAAGAGUAUCUCAUAUCAUGCUUUCUCCCUGUCCUUCUCCUUGUCGUUGUUUUCAUCUACGAGACAAGGAGAAAGAGAGCAAUCAGCCAGCACUUGGUAUCAAUCUUCCGAUCUGAAACUGACUGCCUGGAACCCCUUCUUGAUUGCUUACCUAGCCCUGCUCUCGAGUACUCAUCUUCAACAUCUUAUGCUUCCUCUUCGUCUACCACAUCUGCUUGGGGAACAGAUAAGGGAAGUGAAAAUGAUACCUCGAAGCAUGUGGAGACAAGGUACUAAUUCAUCCUCAGCUAGGGACAAGGAGAAAGAAAGCAAGAGGUGGGCACUUGGAAAGAUUGAAGAAAUAAACAGACCAUCACUUCUACCUCGUGCCUGUCUGUCGUGCAGAAGAAACAAGCAGAGAAGAAUGCAGACUGCACAAUCAAAUCAACCCAGCAGAAGGAGUCUGAUUUGAAACCAAGGAACUCUCGCUUAGAAUUCCGAACCAGUUCGAGAUCAAAGCUGUGGAAAGACAACAAGAUCACCUAUCUCUAAAACCAGAUUUGCGUUCUUAAACUCUACUCUGUCUGGUUUUUACUUUGCCAUACUUGUCAUGUUUAUUCGUUGUUUGUUUGUUUGCUUGUUUGUGUGUGAGUUUAUGCUUGAAACAUUGAGGAUAAUGUUUGAUUUAAGUGUGGGGGGGGGGGUAACCAAGUUGUUUUGCAUGAAAUUCGUAGGAGUUUAUCACCCAUUACUUCUAGAGUUGUUCCUUGCUGUUUUAAGUGUUUUUUUAAGAUUUUUUGGAGUGUUUUAAUGUGUUUUGAUAUAAAAAUCCGAAAAUCUCAUAAAAAUUGGAAAAAUUGUUUUGAAAAACCCAAAAAGAGUUGUUUUUGUAUGUUUAUUUGUGUCUUAGGGUACCUUCCAACACAAUGAUGAGGAUUUGGUUUUUAAUUACAUGACUGUUAAAGAGAGUUAUAAACAUGGAUGAAAAUUUGAUUUACUCUUUGAUGUAUGCUUGGUUGUGGUUAUAAUUUAAGAAUUCACAUGCAAUCAUAAAAGGAAAAAUCAGUUUUUUUUGUAACAUGCUUGAAAGAAGGAACUCAAACUAACGUUACAUCAUUGAGAGACUUAGGCCUAAACAUUUAUUUGGAGUUAUUGAUCUGUGCAAUUUUUUUAUUUUCUAAAGUCGUUGCAUGAUCUCAUUAUUCUUUGCUUGGUUGCUACUUAGAAGGCGUUUCAUCAUUUAGUUCCAAAUGCUUGAACUCAUGCUUAUUUCAUUCAAAGCAUGUUAUUGAUUUGCGUAACACAUAUUCAAGAUGAAGUUGUUUAGUGAGCCAAGAGCCAAAAAGCCUAUCUCGUUCAUUAUGUGUUUAAGUUUAACCCCGUUGAGUCUUGUGUUGCCUAUGUUCUUUGUUACCCACGCUAUCCUCACCUAGCCUAGAUUAGGACCAUCCAUACCCUUGUUCUUGAAGCAUAGUAAAGCAUAAUUUAGAAGGAAUUCCUUUUGUUGAACUCUUGCAGAAAAACAAGUGUGGGGGAAGUGAUUCUUGUGUGUGUGUGUGUGCCAAAGUCCUUCAUAAGGCACGGGUAGAAAAGGAAAAGAAAAAGAAAAAUUCGUGGAAAAUAGAAUGAAAAGAACAAAAGUUGUGAAAAGAGUUUAAAAUUUUAUGAGAAAGAGCUCUAAAGUGUUGUUUGUUGAAGAAAGGGUCCAAAGCAUUGAAUUCGACCCUAAGUGUUGCAUGAAUCUUCCCUUUGUGUUUAAAAGUUGAUUUUUGCAUUCUAAAGUAAAUUUCAAGUGUCGAUUCCAUUACUUUGCUUGCUAUCGCUUUAAGAACAUUUGUUAUUCCUAUCCUUUCUUUGUUAGCCAUUACCCCCAAGCCCUGUUACAACCCUUGACUUCAAUCUUGAGUGUUGUGUGUUUCAAUUUGUGGAGUUUGAAAUUGAUAUGAGCAUAUGGUGUCACUGGUUCUUGCAUCUAAGUAGUAGCAUUCCAUUCAUGAGAUCAUAUAUAUACAUGAAUUAAUAAUUCCAGAAAUUGCUUCUUUGUUGAAAAACAUAUGUGAGUACUAGAUUUCAUGUUUACAUCAAUCUUCUCACAUAUACCUAAUAUAGGGAGUGUAGUCAGAAAUUCUUGUGUGAAAAUAAGAAUGUAUCUAGUAAGGAAUUGAGAAAAUUCUCUAAGGCAUGUUACUAUAUUCAAAAUGCUGUUUUAAUUUAUUAAAUGUGAGCUAGUGAAUGGUGACUAUGAUUAAGUAUGCUCGAGGGUAAGGAAUGCUUAAAUCUAUGUAAGUGGUGAUCUUUGGCAUGUCAUGUUUCAUUGAAAAUCCUUGACGCAAAUGUUGGAAGGUUAGGUUAUGUUUUCUUUGUUUUGUUUGUUUUGUUUCGUUUUGUUUCUUUUGUUUUGCUCGAGGACUAGCAAAAGCUAAGUGUGGGGGAAUUUGAUAGGAACAUAUUUAUGCGACUUAGUUAGCUUGUUCUUGUGCAUUUGUGUUGUUAUUUCUUAGUUAAUUAUGUAUUUUAAGCUAUUUUCGUGUGUUUGUAGGUCAUAUAACAAAGUUGGCAAGAAAGUGCAUUUUGGAGCAUUUUUGAGCAUUUUUGAGCCAAGAUUGGAUAGUGCAAGCAUGGAGACAUGAGGAUGGACAUUUUUGAAGAUUUGAAGGCAAGAAAUCAACAUGUGUGUGUGCAAGUGCGUUCACCUACAACUCCAAACAUCCAUCCACUACACCCAUUACAUCCACUCAUUACCAAACACUCAUCCACUACACCCAUUACAUCCACACAUUACCACAACACUCACCCACUACACCCAUUAUAUCCAUUCAUUACAACUCCAUACACUCCUCUCCCUAGCCUAUAAAUACAUCUAACCUUCACCAUAAUUCGGGGGCCAUCAUCCAAAGACACUACAUUUCACAUCUCACAACUUCAUUCACAAACACAAUUUCCUUGCCGUGACCUCCAUCCAUUCAUCUAGCCAUACUACAUCUCACCAAUCCAUACACUUUCAUCUCUUAGCUGUGCAAAUCCAUUCCAUCCAUAUCUCCAUACACAUCCUAGACACUUGUGCUACAACAAGGUGGUGAAAAC
rnacentral:lncRNA from 1 species